AGAGUUUGAUCCUGGCUCAGAGCGAACGCUGGCGGCAGGCUUAACACAUGCAAGUCGAGCGCCUGUAGCAAUACAGGAGCGGCAGACGGGAGAGUAACACGUGGGAACGUACCCUUCAGUUCGGAACAACCAAGGGAAACUUUGGCUAAUACCGAAUACGUCCGUAAGGAGAAAGAUUUAUCGCUGAAGGAUCGGCCCGCGUCUGAUUAGCUAGUUGGUGAGGUAACGGCUCACCAAGGCGACGAUCAGUAGCUGGUCUGGGAGGAUGAUCAGCCUCAUUGGGACUGAGACACGGCCCAAACUCCUACGGGAGGCAGCAGUGGGGAAUAUUGGACAAUGGGCGCAAGCCUGAUCCAGCCAUGCCGCGUGGAUGAUGAAGGCCUUAGGGUUGUAAAAUCCUUUCGGCGGGGAAGA
rnacentral:rRNA from 1 species